UGGGGUAUCGUCUAACGGUAGGACACCAGACUCUGAAUCUGUUAGUUGGGGUUCGAAUCCCUGUACCCCAG
rnacentral:tRNA from 2 species